CUUGGUCAUUUAGAGGAAGUAAAAGUCGUAACAAGGUCUCCGUUGGUGAACCAGCGGAGGGAUCAUUACAGAGUUGCAAAACUCCCAAACCCAAUGUGAACGUUAUCAAACUGUUGCCUCGGCGGGAUCUCUGCCCCGGGUGCGUCGCAGCCCCGGACCAAGGCGCCCGCCGGAGGACCAACCAAAACUCUUAUUGUAUACCCCCUCGCGGGUUUUUUUUAUAAUCUGAGCCUUCUCGGCGCCUCUCGUAGGCGUUUCGAAAAUGAAUCAAAACUUUCAACAACGGAUCUCUUGGUUCUGGCAUCGAUGAAGAACGCAGCGAAAUGCGAUAAGUAAUGUGAAUUGCAGAAUUCAGUGAAUCAUCGAAUCUUUGAACGCACAUUGCGCCCGCCAGUAUUCUGGCGGGCAUGCCUGUCCGAGCGUCAUUUCAACCCUCGAACCCCUCCGGGGGGUCGGCGUUGGGGAUCGGCCCUGCCUUGGCGGUGGCCGUCUCCGAAAUACAGUGGCGGUCUCGCCGCAGCCUCUCCUGCGCAGUAGUUUGCACACUCGCAUCGGGAGCGCGGCGCGUCCACAGCCGUUAAACACCCAACUUCUGAAAUGUUGACCUCGGAUCAGGUAGGAAUACCCGCUGAACUUAAGCAUAUCAAUAAGCGGAGGA
rnacentral:misc_RNA from 1 species